rnacentral:rRNA from 1 species
UACGGGGGGAGCAAGCGUUGUUCGGAUUUACUGGGCGUAAAGGGCGCGUAGGCGGCGUGGUAAGUCACUUGUGAAAUCUCCGGGCUUAACUCGGAACGGUCAAGUGAUACUGCUGCGCUAGAGUGCGGAAGGGGCAACUGUAAUUCUCGGUGUAGCGGUGAAAUGCGUAGAUAUCGAGAGGAACACCUGCGGCGAAGGCGGGUUGCUGGGCCGACACUGACGCUGAGGCGCGAAAGCUAGGGGAGCGAACGGG